rnacentral:rRNA from 1 species
UACGUAGGGGGCGAGCGUUGUCCGGAAUCACUGGGCGUAAAGGGCGCGUAGGCGGCUUCUCAAGCGUGUGGUGAAAGUCCGGGGCUCAACCCCGGAUCGGCCGUGCGGACUGGGGAGCUCGAGUUCUGUAGAGGCGGGUGGAAUUCCGGGUGUAGCGGUGGAAUGCGUAGAGAUCCGGAAGAACACCGGUGGCGAAGGCGGCCCGCUGGGCAGAGACUGACGCUGAGGCGCGACAGCGUGGGGAGCAAACAGG